rnacentral:rRNA from 1 species
UACGGAGGGUGCGAGCGUUAAUCGGAAUUACUGGGCGUAAAGCGCACGCAGGCGGUUUGUUAAGCAAGAUGUGAAAGCCCCGGGCUCAACCUGGGAAUGCAUUUUGAACUUGGCAGACUAGAGUCUUGGAGAGGGGGGUGGAAUUCCAGGUGUAGCGGUGAAAUGCGUAGAGAUCUGGAGGAACAUCAGUGGCGAAGGCGGCCCCUGGCCAAAGCACUGACGCUCAUGUGCGAAAGUGUGGGUAGCGAACAGGAUUAGAUACCCCUGGUAGUC